AUUGAACGCUGGCGGCAUGCCUUACACAUGCAAGUCGAACGGUAACAGGUCUUCGGAUGCUGACGAGUGGCGAACGAGUGAGUAAUACAUCGGAACGUGCCUAGUAGUGGGGGAUAACUACUCGAAAGAGUGGCUAAUACCGCAUGAGAUCUACGGAUGAAAGCAGGGGAUCGCAAGACCUUGUGCUACUAGAGCGGCCGGUGGCGGAUUAGGUAGUUGGUGGGAUAAAAGCUUACCAAGCCGACGAUCUGUAGCUGGUCUGAGAGGACGAUCAGCCACACUGGGACUGAGACACGGCCCAGACUCCUACGGGAGGCAGCAGUGGGGAAUUUUGGACAAUGGGCGAAAGCCUGAUCCAGCAAUGCCGCGUGCAGGAUGAAGGCCUUCGGGUUGUAAACUGCUUUUGUACGGAACGAAAAGCCCCGGGUUAAUACCCUGGGGUCAUGACGGUACCGUAAGAAUAAGCACCGGCUAACUACGUGCCAGCCGCCGCCGUAA
rnacentral:rRNA from 1 species